rnacentral:rRNA from 1 species
CCUAGGGGGGCAGCAGUGGGGAAUAUUGGACAAUGGGGGCAACCCUGAUCCAGCCAUGCCGCGUGUGUGAAGAAGGCCCUCGGGUUGUAAAGCACUUUCAGUGAGGAAGAACGCCUGGUGGUUAAUACCCAUCAGGAAAGACAUCACUCACAGAAGAAGCACCGGCUAACUCCGUGCCAGCAGCCGCGGUAAUACGGAGGGUGCGAGCGUUAAUCGGAAUUACUGGGCGUAAAGCGCGCGUAGGUGGCUUGAUAAGCCGGUUGUGAAAGCCCCGGGCUCAACCUGGGAACGGCAUCCGGAACUGUCAAGCUAGAGUGCAGGAGAGGAAGGUAGAAUUCCCGGUGUAGCGGUGAAAUGCGUAGAGAUCGGGAGGAAUACCAGUGGCGAAGGCGGCCUUCUGGACUGACACUGACACUGAGGUGCGAAAGCGUGGGUAGCAAACAGGAUUAGAUACCCGUGUAGUC